rnacentral:rRNA from 1 species
UACGAAGGGUGCAAGCGUUACUCGGAAUUACUGGGCGUAAAGCGUGCGCAGGCGGUUCGCUAAGACCGAUGUGAAAUCCCCGGGCUUAACCUGGGAACUGCAUUGGUGACUGGCAGGCUUUGAGUGUGGCAGAGGGAGGUAGAAUUCCACGUGUAGCAGUGAAAUGCGUAGAGAUGUGGAGGAAUACCGAUGGCGAAGGCAGCCUCCUGGGCCAACACUGACGCUCAUGCACGAAAGCGUGGGGAGCAAACAGG